UAAAAUUCAUGCAACCCAGAUGAGCUAACGAGACCAGCACCGCCAGAGGCGCUAGUGUAUUUUUACUCGCAUUAAUGGUAAAUUUAUUUUAAAGUGUAUGAAAACCGAUUCGUUUGCAAUCCGUGCCACAUCCGAAGUGACCGUCUGCGGCCAAAAAGCGGUGGCCAACAGAUCACGUAUUAUGAACCGUAAAAAAAUUAAAUAAAAAGUGUCGCUGGAAGAAAAUGUGAUGUGGCGGCUGCCGGACUCGGAUGUUUGAAAAUCGGAAGCGAUACGCCGGAAAUAAGCAAAAACCGGGUCACAGCUAAACGUGGCUAAACACACCGUUGCUAUUAUUUACGGUUAUUUAAGGGCAGGUCUUGUUCGAAACAUCAAAAGCGAAGCGGAUUUAAUUCCUCCUGACGAUCAAAAUAAGUCCUUUCGGCUCGUUGACGAGAAGUGAAUACGAAUGUCUUGCGAAUGAGAACAGACAGACAGACAGACUUUUAGUCAAACUCAAUGUUAAAAAGAUAUAUCUGACAACGUCGAGCACAUCGGACAAUUCCGAUAUUGUGCGUAAAACAGACUGGACGGAGUACUGAAGCUGAAUUCCUAGCCCGGUGGGAUCUACAUAAAUACACGAUGCAUGCAUAACCCAUUAUAUAAGCAUGAAACACACGAUCUACUAAUGAAGAAUAUAUCAUCAAAUGUAGCACCGUUUGUCAGGUGUCAGGUGAUUUCGUGUACGACAAUGAAAAGGCCUCCAAGUCAUCGGUUAACAUCGUGGGAUUCAGGGUGGCUACAAAUCGACGGAUAUGAAGAUUAUGAAGUAUAGCGUGGCUUUAGUUUCCUGUGAGAUAAUUUUGAAAUUGCCAGCAAGGAAAACGGUAAAUGUAAAAUAAAUAAAAUAAAUAAAA